AGGCGUUGGGUCGAUGCCCGAGUGGUUAAUGGGGACGGACUGUAAAUUCGUUGAUAAUAUGUCUACGCUGGUUCAAAUCCAGCUUGGCCCAACAAUUUGUCAAUCUACUAUCAGAUGGUAGAACACUCUUGUUCUUAAUAAAUACCUGACACGAGAGAAUAAAAAGGAAUCCAAAAUUUCUGCUAGAUCUCUUCUUAUUUCCCUGGGAUUGUAGUUCAAUAGGCAAGAGCACCCGCCCUGUCAUGGCAAACGUUGCGGGUUCGAGCCCCGUCAGUCCCGACGGAUC
rnacentral:lncRNA from 1 species